CCUACGGGUGGCAGCAGUAGGGAAUAUUGCUCAAUGGGGGAAACCCUGAAGCAGCAACGCCGCGUGGAGGAUGAAGGUUCUCGGAUUGUAAACUCCUUUUGUUAGAGAAGAUAAUGACGGUAUCUAACGAAUAAGCACCGGCUAACUCCGUGCCAGCAGCCGCGGUAAUACGGAGGGUGCCAGCGUUACUCGGAAUCACUGGGCGUAAAGGGCGCGUAGGCGGGAUAGCAAGUCAGAUGUGAAAUCCUAUGGCUUAACCAUAGAACUGCAUUUGAAACUGUUAUUCUAGAGUAUGGGAGAGGUAGGUGGAAUUCUUGGUGUAGGGGUAAAAUCCGUAGAGAUCAAGAGGAAUACUCAUUGCGAAGGCGACCUGCUAGAACAUAACUGACGCUGAUGCGCGAAAGCGUGGGGAGCAAACAGGAUUAGAUACCCGGGUAGUC
rnacentral:rRNA from 1 species